rnacentral:rRNA from 1 species
UACAGAGGUGGCAAGCGUUGUUCGGAAUUACUGGGCGUAAAGCGUGCGUAGGCGGCGCCGCAAGUCGAGUGUGAAAUCCCCGAGCUUAACUUGGGAAUUGCGCUCGAAACUACGAUGCUGGAGUGUGGCAGAGGGAGGUGGAAUUCCACGUGUAGCGGUGAAAUGCGUAGAGAUGUGGAGGAACACCGAUGGCGAAGGCAGCCUCCUGGGCCAACACUGACGCUCAUGCACGAAAGCGUGGGGAGCAAACAGG